UUCCCAGUGUAGCGGUGAAAUGCGUAGAUAUUGGGAAGAACAUCGGUGGCGAAGGCGUGCUACUGGACCGUAACUGACACUCAGGGACGAAAGCUAGGGGAGCGAAAGGGAUUAGAUACCCCUGUAGUCCUAGCUGUAAACGAUGGAAACUAGGUGUGGCUUGUAUCGACCCGAGCCGUGCCGUAGCUAACGCGUUAAGUUUCCCGCCUGGGGAGUACGCACGCAAGUGUGAAACUCAAAGGAAUUGACGGGGGCCCGCACAAGCGGUGGAGUAUGUGGUUUAAUUCGAUGCAACGCGAAGGACCUUACCAGGGCUUGACAUGUCGCGAAUCUCGGUGAAAGCUGAGAGUGCCUUCGGGAGCGCGAACACAGGUGGUGCAUGGCUGUCGUCAGCUCGUGUCGUGAGAUGUUGGGUUAAGUCCCGCAACGAGCGCAACCCUUAUUUUUAGUUGCCAGCAUUAAGAUGGGCACUCUAGAAAGACUGCCGGUGACAAACCGGAGGAAGGUGAGGACGACGUCAAGUCAGCAUGCCCCUUACGCCCUGGGCUACACACGUACUACAAUGGUUGGGACAAAGGGCAGCGACUCCGCAAGGAAUAGCGAAUCUCAUCAAACCCAGCCUCAGUUCAGAUUGCAGGCUGCAACUCGCCUGCAUGAAGGAGGAAUCGCUAGUAAUCGCAGGUCAGCAUACUGCGGUGAAUUCGUUCCCGGGCCUUGUACACACCGCCCGUCACACCAUGGAAGCUGGUCACGCCCGAAGUAGUUACCCUAACCUUUCGAGGAGGGGGAUUCCUAAGGCAGGGCUAGUGACUGGGGUGAAGUCGUAACAAGGUAACC
rnacentral:rRNA from 1 species